GUGCUUCGUGUAGACUUUCUCUGUGGCUUGUGCUUCCCCAACUCUGGAGAGAUCGAACUGCUCUAGGACUCUUCCAUCUCCGGCUGGCCUGCAGCAGACUCAUCUUCCAGCUCACCUAUAGCUCAUCAUCCUAUCCACUAGCAACAAUUAGACAGGAGCAUGUUGUUCUCUGAGAGGCUCCACCCAGCAGCUGACUCAAACAGAUACAGAUACCCACAGCCAAACAGUGGAUGGAGCUUGUGGACUCUUAAGAAGAAUAGGAGGAAGGAUUUCAGGGCCCAAAGGGGAUAGGAACUCCACAAGAAGACUAACAGAGUCAACUCACCUGGACCCUUGGGUCUCUCAGAGUCUGAACCAUCAACCAAAGAACAUAGACAGGCUGCACCUAGGCCUCCCAGAUGUGUAGCAGAUGUGCAGCUUGGUCUUCAUGUGAGUCCUAAAAAAUCUGGAGUAUUAGCUAUCCCAAAAGUUGUUGCUAGUAAGUGAGAUAUGUUCUACUAGCUAAGCUGCCUUGUCUGGCCUCAAAGAGACUUGCAGUGCCAGGGUAGGGGGCAUACACAGGCUCUCCCUCCACUCUGAGAAGAAGGGGAGGGGGAGGGAUUAUGGGAGGAGUUAACUGAAAGGAGGAGCAGUGAACAGGGUGUAAAGUGAGUACGUAAAAAACAGUAAAAUUGAAUAAAAGAUUCCAGUGUAGCUUUCAUCAAUACUCAGCUGGAUCUCCUCAGAAUCUAUGAAGCUGAGAGUCAACCUCUGUGCAGGAUGAAAGUCACCACACAGCCUCUGGAUAAUUUUCAGUUGGCAUAUUGUAUACACUUUUUUAGCUGAUUUCACAUUAUCUAACAACACUCCACAUAGCCCUUGAACAUCAUAAUAUCUAGUUUGCCAGCUAAAUGAUAUAUAGUUCCUAUUGGCCACAGGCUUAUCAUUAUGUGUGAGUUUCUAGAUCAUUCUUUGAGGCCCUAAUGGAUAGUGCCUGAAAACCUAUCACCCACUUCUGGCAUAAUAUUCACAGCAUUUCAUGCAAAGCCUUUGAUCUGUGAUAAAAAAUAAAGUCCAUAGCAGGAUAAUCCUGUAAUGUGUUGGCCACUA
rnacentral:lncRNA from 1 species